GACGUAGGGCGCGAGCGUUGUCCGGAUUUAUUGGGCGUAAAGAGCUCGUAGGCGGCUUGUCGCGUCGAAUGUGAAAACUCGGGGCUCAACCCCGCGCUUGCAUUCGAUACGGGCAGGCUCGAGUUCGGUAGGGGAGACUGGAAUUCCUGGUGUAGCGGUGAAAUGCGCAGAUAUCAGGAGGAACACCGGUGGCGAAGGCGGGUCUCUGGGCCGAUGACUGACGUGAGGAGCGAAAGCGUGGGGAGCGAACAG
rnacentral:rRNA from 1 species